GGGGCCGUAGGGUAGCUUGGUUUAUCCUUCCGGCUUUGGGAGCCGGCGACGGGAGUUCGAAUCUCUCCGGCCCCA
rnacentral:tRNA from 1 species